rnacentral:tRNA from 1 species
GAGGGUAUAGCUCAGUGGUAGAGCACAUGCUUGGCACACAUGAGGUCCUGGGUUCAAUCCUGAGUGCCUCUG